rnacentral:rRNA from 1 species
CCCUUAGAUGUCCUGGGCUGCACGCGCGCUACACUGAUGUGUCCAGUAAGCACCUAACCUCUUCCGAAAGGAACGGGUAACCUUUGCAAAGCACAUCGUGAUGGGGAUAGAUUAUUGCAAUUAUUAGUCUUGAACGAGGAAUUCCUAGUAAGCACAAGUCAUCAGCUUGUGUUGAUUACGUCCCUGCCCUUUGUACACACCGCCCGUCGCUCCUACCGAUUGAAUGUUCCGGUGAGCUCUUCGGACUGCGCGGUCUGCAGUUUCUGCGUUCCGUGCGGAAAGUUGCGCAAACCUUAACAUUAGAGGAAGGAGAAGUCGUAACA